UACCUUUGAUGUAGUGGUUAUCACAUCUGCCAAUCACGCGGACGGUUCCAGGUUCGAGACCUGGUGGGACAA